rnacentral:lncRNA from 1 species
UCUUUUCACCAUUUCAAGUAAACAACAAAAUUAUGAUUGGGCGGCGUUUGAGAACUUAGAUUGGUUUUUGGCUUAAGAUGGUUUGAAUUAUUUAUAACUAAGUUUUCUGGAUUUGAUUUUGAUUUUGGGGUUUUGUUAUUUGGCUUAAGUUUUUUUUUACAUGUUUUCUUAAAGGAAGGCUUGGUUUUGUUUUUUUUUUUAAAUUAAACAAAAUAUUAAUUUUUCGCUGCAAAUUUGAAAUAAGUUUUACAUAAGUUAAUAAUGGAAGUUUCAGAAAAUGCACAAUCGGUAAAUAUACGUUCUCUCUAAUCUGAAUCACAAUUUCUGAAUUAGCUACUUCGAAAUUUCCGC